CUUUUUGAAUUUAUAAAAAGUUGUUUCUGCCCGGUGUGAUUGUAUUAACGGCCGCGGUACUUUGACCGUGCGAAGGUAGCGUAAUCAUUUGCCUUAUAAUUGAAGGCUGGUAUGAAUGGGGGUACAAGAGAAAAGCUGUCUCUACGCUUUUAUUAUAAUUUAUUUUAAGGGUGAAGAAACCCUGUUUGAAAAAUUAGACAAGAAGACCCUAUUGAGCUUUACUGAUUUUUAAAUAUAUUAAUUGUUUUCUUUAAUUUUAUAUUUUUUUGUUAGUUUGAUUGGGGCGAUUAAGGAAAUGUAUUAAACUUCCUUUUUUUAUUUAUUUUUAUAUUUUUUUUGAUCCUUGUUAGAGAUAAAUAGAAUAAGUUACCAUAGGGAUAACAGCGUAAUCUUUUUUUAGAGUUCUUAUCAAAAAAAAGGUUUGCGACCUCGAUGUUGGACUAGGGUGUCCUAAGGGUGCAGCGGCUCUUAAUGGUAAGUCUGUUCGACUUUUAAAACCCUACAUGAUCUGAGUUCAGACC
rnacentral:rRNA from 1 species